AAGCCAGCGAGGAUGGCUGCGCGCGCGUUUGAGCGCUCGCGCGCGGCGACCCGUCUGUCUCCUUUUUUUCUUUUUUAAGUGUAACCUGGUUUAUUGGGCUCUCGGGAUAUUCUUGCGUUCCUUCUGCACUGGGACAAGACACCACUGCACUAUUGGACUACGGCAAGCUGGUGCCGUCCGGUGGAGCUUCAUACAGGAACUACUGCCUUAUCUGCUGGUGUCACAACGUUGGAUGAACGCACAAAAAGCGCGGAACGAGCUUUUAUAUAGAGCAAAAUAAAUAUUUCCUCAUUGAACAAAA